rnacentral:rRNA from 1 species
GACGAACGCUGGCGGCGUGCCUAAUACAUGCAAGUAGAACGCAGUUGCGAACGGGUGAGUAACGCGUAGGUAACUGACUCAUAGCGGGGGAUAACUAUUGGAAACGAUAGCUAAUACCGCAUACUGUGAGAUGGACCUGCGUUGUAUUAGGUAGUUGGUGAGGUAAAGGCUCACCAAGGCGACGAUACAUAGCCGACCUGAGAGGGUGGUCGGUCACACUGGGACUGAGACACGGGCCAGAGUCCUACGGGAGGCAGCAGUAGGGAAUCUUCGGAAAUGGACGGAAAUCUGAACGAGCAACGCCGCAUUAGUGAAGAAGGUUUUCGGAUCGUAAAGCUCUGUUGUGAGAGGAGCGGGGACUAACCAAAAAGGGACAGCAAACUACGUGCCAGCAGCCGCGGUAAUUC